rnacentral:misc_RNA from 1 species
UUUAGUAUCUUAUGUUGCCUGCGCUUUAACUAGCGCGGCGACUAAAACCUUACACACAGUGCUUAGUUUUUUCUAACAUUGCUUUGCGUGGAAUAAGCCUAGCUUUUCUGCGCAGAGGUUAUCAAAACACAAGAUUUUAAUAUCUUUUAUUACAAAUUCUAGUCAAGAAGUUUUAUUAAAAACAAAUCUUCAAAACUUUCAACAACGGA